GAGAGAGUUCAGGGAGGAAAGGAGCAAGGCCUCUGGGAAGCGGAGGGCGUGGGGCCCAGGGGGUGUGGAGGCCACGUCUGACCCUGUAGAGGAAGCACGGCUUGAGGAAGGCUCCAAAAGUUUCCAGCCACACAGCAAUGCGGGUGGAGGGCUUUCAAGGCAGAAGGAAGGGCAGGAGCAAAGGUGCCAUGGCGGGGACGUGUCAUAAAGGGAUGCUCUGCACCGCCCUCCCACCCAGUCUGCUGCCUGACUGCCCUGUGCGGCCCCAGCUUGCACACUUUUGGCGACGAGGAGCUCACUACCCACUCAGAGGGCAACUGAAAAAAAUCUCCAGACGGCUCAGACUCUUGGAAAGCUGAACUUGAGGAUGCCAGGGAGACGGUGUGGCUGCCACGGAGGGGCCCGAGCUCUGCUGGGCCAGUCUGCUGGGCAAGGCUGUCCUUUACCAUUAGCUUGCAGAGUGAAAGAGCUGGCCCCUCACUCCAGCUGUCGCUCCAAAUUAUAAUAGGACCGGGCACCAGGACGUGGCAGUGAACAAACAUCAUCACAAUAUCCGUCUCUAGUCUGGCACCUGCCCUUCGCCCAUUUUACAGGUGGCAAAGCUGAGUCCGGGGAGAGGCAGUGACUUGCUCCACGAGGCCCAGGGAGCUGACGGUGAAGGGCAGAGCCUCGCACAGGCUACUGCAGGCACUGACCAUCUGUCAGCCCCAGGAAGAAAAGGAGAGGCGUGUCCGCCACCCCACCCCCAGCCGUUUCUAGGACACUGAGGUAUUGAUUACCACCCUUGCCUUGGAGUGGUUUUCUUUUCUUUUCUUUUUCCAUCAAGGCUUUCUAGUCUGCCUUUUUUUUUUUUUUUUUUUUUU